UGUAUGUCUGUGGGUGCUGAAUGUGUGUGGGUGCUGAAUGUGUGUGGGUGCUGUGUAUGUCUGUGGGUGCAGUGUAUGUCUGUGGGUGCUGUAUGUCUGUGGGUGCUGUGUAUGUGUGUGGGUGCUGUGUAUGUGUGUUGGUGCUGUAUGUCUGUGGGUGCUGUGUAUGUGUGUGGGUGCUGUGUAUGUGUGUGGGUGCUGUGUAUGUGUGUG